GGCCUCGUAGCUCAGUUGGCUAGAGCGUUGGCGGUACUAAGGGCUUCCACUUGCUGGCUUGGGUUCGAAUCCCACCGCGGCCG
rfam:Schistocephalus solidus strain NST_G2 genome assembly, scaffold: SSLN_scaffold0000003